rnacentral:rRNA from 1 species
AGUGAACGCUGGCGGUAGGCCUAACACAUGCAAGUCGAACGGCAGCACAGUAAGAGCUUGCUCUUACGGGUGGCGAGUGGCGGACGGGUGAGGAAUACAUCGGAAUCUACUUUUUCGUGGGGGAUAACGUAGGGAAACUUACGCUAAUACCGCAUACGACCUACGGGUGAAAGCAGGGGAUCUUCGGACCUUGCGCGAUUGAAUAAGCCGAUGUCGGAUUAGCUAGUUGGCGGGGUAAAGGCCCACAAAGGCGACGAUCCGUAGCUGGUCUGAGAGGAUGAUCAGCCACACUGGAACUGAGACACGGUCCAGACUCCUACGGGAGGCAGCAGUGGGGAAUAUUGGACAAUGGGCGCAAGCCUGAUCCAGCCAUACCGCGUGGGUGAAGAAGGCCUUCGGGUUGUAAAGCCCUUUUGUUGGGAAAGAAAAGCAGCAGGUUAAUACCCCGCUGUUCUGACGGUACCCAAAGAAUAAGCACCGGCUAACUUCGUG